CUGGAAACCAAGUUGCCAAAGGUUCCCAGAACGGACCCAAUUGCAGACAGUUCGGGUAAAGGACAAUUUAUUAACGCAAAAGGCAAGGAACACCGAGGACACAGGUGAUGCGGUUAACACAGGGAAAACCGGGAACACAGGACACAACUCACCACGAACUACAAUGAUCCGACAAGGAUCAAAGGAAAGACAAGGGCUUAAAUACCAAACACACACAGGGCACGCAACGAGUAACAGCUGAAACACAUUAGGGGAGGGAGCAGUAAUCACACAGGAGGGAAACCUGACCGGACAAGGGGAGAAACAAGACAGAGAUACCAAAGUAAGACCGGAAACACAUCAAAACAAGACAAGGAAACAGACAGACCAUGACACACACACACACACACAUGGACACAGCAAGAGAAAAUGUAUGUUUGGUUUGUGAGCUGAAGUAAAACAACCCUUGAAAUAGACAAUAAAAUAUCAACUUUAUAUACUUAUGUCCUUUCAUACUUUAUGUAGGACAACAUCUUUCAAGAACUUAAAGACUAUCAACUGGUGUACUAUGUACAGUCAAUGCCAGCUCGAUGAAUAAAAUCUCCCCAUCAACGCAGAGGUUUGAGUGAGAAGUCUGCCGGCCCUCCCUCGCCCCUUAUUACUAUUCGACAGGUGCCCAUUUACCACCCCUAAAUACUAACGAGAUUUGGUCAAAUCGAAACGCCCACUCAAACUCACCUUAUUGAUUGAUGUUUGAAAAGAAGGAAAACGAUGAUCCGCCAUUUUCUUCCAAAACCAGCCCAAAUUGUAGGUAACCGCCCAAUGCAAAUUUCGGCCUAACAUGAUCAAAAGUUGCCCAAUUGGCUUGAGUUUUUUAUGAAUUUGCACAGCAGGACUAGCAGCAUUCACUAUAAGAGAAAUCAAAACCAGCACUGUUGUGGGCUAAGUAUCACUGCAAAUCUGUUCUAUUCAGGUUUAUUAAACUACCAACCAUUAUUAUGAGUACUUUACUAAACCAUUCUAACACGCCCCCGGUGAAAGUAUCCAGAUGGAAUACAGAUCUGCAUGCUCCCCUUUAACCUAGCUGUCUAGAACCUUCAGAACCCGGACCAGAUCCGUGUCCCGGCCCUUUCAGUUAUUUUCUCUGGGUCGGAGAGAGAGAGAGUUGUGUAAAUCAUUUGUGGAGGAGCAUAUGAAGUCUUAAAAUGGAAUCCACAAGAUAUUUAGUUGUGUUUGUGUCCAGGUCUCCCGUCUACCUUGAAAGAGGAGAUGGAGGAGGGGGGUCCUACUUCUAAAAGCACCAUGUCUAGGGAACAUGGCCCCCAGAGCGAAGCUGAAAGCCCCGAGCAGCAGGACAGAGCAGACUCCCCUGAACCCAGCUGUGUCUCCAUGAAGAGCGACUGGUCUAUGGAUCCACCUGUCAUGUUUAAAGAUGGCCACCCCUGCAGAAAGGAAAGGUAGGACUUUCAAAUGUAAUCCUUUGGUAAGCAAACUCGGUUUCUCCUUGGCCACAUCACCAGCCUGGUCGUGCAUUAUUUUCCAAUAACGAGUCUGACAUGCUUAAUUUACAAAUGCAGCCUCUAUUGAACAUGCAUAAAUCGAGAUUCUUGUUUUUAUAGAAGACACCAUCAGGAGAGAGCAGACUCCCCUGGACCCAGCUGUGCCUCAGUGAAGAGAGACCAGUCUAUGGAUCCACUUCUUAAAUUUGACGAUUGAAAUCAGUCUACUGAGAAAAGAAGAGUCCAGCAUGUGAGAGCAGACUCCCCUGGACCCAGCUGUGUCUCAGGGAAAAGUGACCAGUCUAUGGAUCCACCUCUUAAAUUUAAAGAUGGAAAUCAGUCUACUGAGAAGAGAAGAGUCCAGCACGAGAGAGCAGACUCCCCUGGACCCAGCGUCCCCAUGGAGCGGGACUGCUCUAUGGAUUAUCCUUUUAAUCUCAAUGAUGGAAAUCCCCAACCGGUUAAGAAAAGGAAGGUCAAGCAUGAGGAUACGGACUCUCCGGGACCCAACUGGGUCUCCAUGAAGAGUGACUGGUCUAUGGACCCUCCUGACCAAUUUAAAGAUAAGAUAGGAGAGGAGAGGUGAGAGUUUGACUAAACACACCUGAAGAUUGUUAUCGUACUCCCUAGUGCUGAUGUUUAGAAGACGGGACAAACUCCAUAGAUCCUUUUUGAGUGUGUUUGUUUUGUGUGUGUGUGUGUGUGUGUGUGUGUGUGUGUGUGUGUGUGUGUGUGUGUGUGUGUGUGUGUGUGUGUGUGUGUGUGUGUGUGUGUGUGUGUGUGUGUGUGUGUGUGUUUUCCACAGAAAACCCCAGGAGAGGUCAAAGGUUACCAGGGCUCAAAUAGAGCUUAUCAAGAGGGCUGAGGAGAACGCACACGCUUUCCUGGAAAAGGAGCUGAAGAAGCUCUGGAGGGUUCUCUUACCAGAUUACCCACAAUACUCAGACAGUCAGUGGGAGGAGGAGGAGGUGGAUGGUAAGAACAAGGAGCAGAGGAGGCGCGCCAUAGAGGGAGUGGUAGACAUCACAAAGCACUGCCUGAUGGAGAUGAACCAGGAGGAACUGGCUGACACACUGAGGAGUGGUAAGAGACUCUUGUUUUAAAAUGUCUGUAAGAUAAUUUUAUAAAAAACAAAAAAAAGUGAAUUUUUAUUUUUUUUAUUUUGGAUGGACACUUUUUAAUGCAGAUAUUUAGGGUUCAUCCCUUCACUUUUGUUGAAUUUAAAAUGUGUUAGUAGCCACUAGGGAACACAUUUGUAUUUGAUGGUAUGACCCUCCCUGCCCAAGCAAUCAACCAUGACCUACCGGGUAAGGAAACCCCCUACCCCAACAACAACAGCAGCCCUGAACGAAAAAAAGCAAUUUGAUAUUCCAGUCGAUUUGGUUUGCAUAGCCCUUUAAUCAUGUGCGCAAUCUGAAAAGGUUCACAUGCCACAUUAUAUGUCACACCCUCUUAGCCCUCCAAUAGGGAAGGGAAAACUCGCCACAUUAUCAAGGAAGAAAUCGAACCAUUGUGUAAUAUAACAGUAAGGUAUUUAGAUUUUUUCUGCAUCGGAAAUAAACCGGGCGCUGCGGAGAUCGUGGCAACAUAGUUUACAAUCUUGAUCUCCAUUGACAAACAACAGCUACAUACACACCACUAGUAGGAGCCAGACGCUGCCGCAGCUAGGGCUGCCGCAGCGGCUGCUAUUGCUGAAGCAUCUUUGAGCUCUCGCUGUCCUAUCUCCUCCUCGCUAUACCGGGCCUGAAUUGAACAUCAGCAAAUAUUCAUGAAACCUGUUAUUGUCCACCUCAACCCUCUCCUGUGCAUCAUUUGACAUGUUGCGUGUCCUGUGCUUCAAACAUUUCAGAGCAUAUUACAGGGGUGCAAACUCAUUACCAUUUGGGGAAAUUCAUAGUUUUUUUUACCACAAAUAAGACAUUCCCGUGAAUUCUGAAGAUCUGCAAAAUAA